rnacentral:rRNA from 1 species
GGGAUUUGAGACACUCCGUUAGCAGCUCUGUGACGGAAGAGCUCAGCGUCGAAACCGUGUUGGCUUUCGUUGACACGGUAUUGUGACGUAUAGAGGUGAUCAUGUUCCUCUUUGCUGGCUUUACGAAUUUCCUUUGACUAGGAAUCCAUAGCGGGUGCAAGACCCGUACGUCUUGCUGGUUUUUCGUACGCGUUUAUCUCUUGGAGUAGGGUUGUUUGAGAUCGCAGCCCUAAGUAGGUGGUAUACUUCAUCUAAAGCUAAAUACGACUACGAAUCCGAUAGCAAACAAGUACCGUGAGGGAAAGUUGCAAAGUACUUUGAAGAGAGAGUUCAAGAGGACGUGAAACCGAUAGGAUGGAAGCAGAUGAAGUUGACGAACGUGUGUCGUAUUCAAAAUCGCUGUCAGCGGUUUGUUUUUACGGCCGAUGUGGGCCGGCGGCUUUGGUCAAUGCAUUGCGUCUAGCGUCGAUGGGGACCCUGCGGAGGGACAAUCAGUCGGCGUACGGUGCUUGGUAUGGCUAAGGUUUCGCCGGUCUAAGUCAGGCCUCAAUUGGACCCGCUUA